rnacentral:rRNA from 1 species
CGUGUCGUGAGAUGUUGGGUUAAGUCCCGUAACGAGCGCAACCCUUGUCCUUAGUUACCAGCACGUUAUGGUGGGCACUCUAAGGAGACUGCCGGUGGACAACCGGAGGAAGUGGGGAUGACGUCAAGUCAUCAUGGCCCUUACGGCCUGGGCUACACACGUGCUACAAUGGUCGGUACAAAGGGUUGCCAAGCCGCGAGGUGGAGCUAAUCCCAUAAAACCGAUCGUAGUCCGGAUCGCAGUCUGCAACUCGACUGCGUGAAGUCGGAAUCGCUAGUAAUCGUGAAUCAGAAUGUCACGGUGAAUACGUUCCCGGGCCUU